rnacentral:lncRNA from 1 species
AUGUUCUGACAAACAUUACUGAAAAGCAGAUUAUAAAAUGUGUGAUUACGAAGCAUGGCUAACAAGGAAGCAUAACUUCAUACAUAUGAAUCUAGGUCUCCAUACUAGCUUUGUAUGCCUAUGCAGUACAAUGUUAUGCACGAGUCCCAUUAUAUCAGUGAGAAUUAGGAUUGCAGCCAGUGUGGUACAGUGGGAUCUGGCAGACAAGGUUUCAAGUGCCCAUUCAGCCAUGAAGUUUGCUAAGUGACCUUGGGCCACUCACAGUCCAUCAGCCUAACCCACCUCAGAGCAUUGGUGUGAAGAUAAAAUUAUAUACCAAUCUGAGCUCUUGGAGGAAAGGUGGGAUAGGAAUGUAAUAAUAAAUAACAGAAUGUGUGAGUGGUCUUGAAGAAAAGGCAAAGCAGCAUCAUUCUCUAGAUUAUGACAUGAGAAACUGGUGGCAUAGCGUGGGGAGGGCAACAAGGGCAGUUCUUCCAGGCACAGAAUUGUAAGGGGCACAAAAUUUCAACAUCUGGUGCUGCCUCAAUACAGCUGCAUGCUUCUAUCACUGGCUUCUCCAUACGAACCAGGAAGUGACCUCCCAGACAAAGAAACAACUUUUCUGAUCUCUGUGGCUGCAAUCUCCUGGGUGAUACAGACGCCAUUAGGCAGUUGAAUGUGCAUGCAUACUCCAUUCAUUUCCCUCCCUUCCACCCAACCCCUCCAAACGGCCCCACGUGCUGGCAACCUACACUACACCACUGAUGAGAAAGACUACAAUGGGAGAACCAUUUUUUCUGCUCCUCAAACAUCUAUUUCUCGUCUCUGAUCCUAAACAUGCUCAGGAGAGACAACAGAAAUGAACAAAUCCGGCUUCCAGUACAGAACAGAGGAGAGUGCAGCACAACACCCGCUCUGUGCUAUCAUCAUGUGUAUAGACAGGUUUACAACAAACCUGCGAGUGUGUGCUUUUGUUUUGAAUGACAGGGAAAGAAGUCGCUUUAUAUGUCAGACAACCUUGGCUGCUUGUUAUCUUGGUCUCAGUCCACAUUUUAGUGAGGGACAGCAUAAAUCCUUCCUUUAUGGCCGCAUCGAACCUAAUGAAUGUCAUGAUCAGAGCUUGAUAAUAAUUAACAGAUUCUCGGAUUACCCAGUUUAUGGUAUGAUCACUCAAGAAUCACUUCAUGAAUCACUCAAGUCACUUCAUUUCCCUGUUUAGUUCUGUAGCAAGUUUCACACCAGCUCCCAAAUCAACCCAAAUCACAGCAUAUCACUUUAUUGUUAUUUUUAAAAUACUAUGCUUCUAUGCAAAGAAAAACUAUACACAUUUCUUUCAGGCUUUCAGCUCAUUGCAGUCACACUUUCACGCCUUUUAAGCAGAAGUGCAAAGUGUGUUAUUAAGACACACCUUGCCUUUUUGUACAUUCAGCUUGGGCGGGGGGGUGGGGAGGCUGGAAGAACCAGGCAGGGAUAAAAUAAGCCCAAAUGUGUAAAGUCACCAAGUAAUAUCAUUUUGUUGCUGUUUAGAGAGUUGAGUUUCUUUCUCUAUCUCUUGCUGGGGGUUUUAGGAACACUAAACCCCAAAGCCUGCAGAAAACUCAGAGGAGAUGAAAACCCUGCAACUAUGUCAUUGCAUUUUAUUAUUGCCACCAGAGUGGUGAUGCUGGUGCAUACCUGGGUUUGGUUUCCCUAGAACUGAGGUCACUUGAGACUGUGAUGUCUUUGUGAUAUAUCUAAAUGUAUAUACAGCCCGAGCAUAUAAAGGAAGAGCUGACAACAUUAACACCUGAACAAUACUGGGGCCCCUUUAGUGGGGAUGGGGGAGAAAUUUGGUUUGGUUCACAUUUAGUGUUGAACCUAACAAAUUCACACUUUUAAAAACUAUAUGAGGACUGUUUUUGGUCCUCAUAUAAUGUUACACUUCUCUGGAUUUUGUGAUGUAGUUCUCUAGCCAAAACAAUGUUUACAAAAAUGUGUAUAUUGGAAGAAAUGGACAUAAUGUGUGCAUAUUAAGGAAAAUUGCUUGCAGAAAAAUGCUGAUGAAUUUUCAUGAGGAUUUUUUUUAAAAAGCAAAUCUGUGCAGAAAACGUGGAGAACUGAAUAUUGGAGAAAUGAGAAACUAAGAGUGAAAUAGACAGAUCCGUUCAUCCCUACCCACUAUGUUUCACAGCAGAGUGGAGAGCCUCGCAGUCCCAUAGUGCUUGAAUCUCACAGAAUCUCUGUGUUACCAGCUCCAGCUGGCAAGUUAGAAUAGUCUCACUUGUAUUGUUCUCUUACGCACAACAAUGGCAUCCCUUCCAGCUUGGCUGGGUAGGGAGCAGAAGGCCUGCCCAUCUUCAGCUAGCACUGGAUUAGUCAUUCUUGUAGUCUUCUAGCUAUUGUUGGUCUUCAACUCUCAUCAUCCCUGACCAUUGGUCAAGCUGAUAGCUGGAGUCCAACAACAUCUGAAGGACCACAAGUUUCCUGGACCUGAGGGUGAGAUAGAGAAACUGACAAAUUAAUUAGUUAAAUAGUUUCUGUGGCAUUGUAGUUCUGUACUCUAGAUAUGCAAAGAGACACUUCACAAACUUGAUUAGAGCUAUUCAUUUAGCAGUCUCCUUCUCUAGAGCAUCUCAUCUUACAGGUAUAAAAUCAUAGGCAUGGAGAAGACCCCAAAGAUGACAUCCAGACCAAUCCCCCACAAGACCCAAUAUAGCACUGCCAAAUAAAUUAGCGUUUAACAUUGCAUUUAGAUAAUAUUAUUCAGAUAAAAUGUAGGAAUUCUGAGGGAAAUUAAAUGAUUUUCAAAUAAAAUUGGCAACAGUUUCUCAUGGAGGAGUGGGGAGGAUUCACCUUUCUAGAUCUGGGUUCUAGACUCAGUCUUUGGUGUAAUCCAGGUGUCUUGUGUAUUAUAGCCACUAGAUGUCUCCAUCUGAAACUUCACGCAACAUAAUGGGAGACUGGUAAACAGGACUAAUUCAGUAUUUCUGUUGCUCACAAUAUGUGAGCAAACAGAUAAGGGUCUGCAGUAUAAGGGAAUGCUUUCAUUCGCUUAGUAGCCUGAAAAAUCAUCUGCUCUACACCUGCAAGAUCGCUUACAGGAAAUUCCACAUGUGCUGUACAUUGCCUACUGAAUAUCACAAGGGCAAUGACCUGAAAAUUGACAUUUUCUGCUAUUGUCUCUGAACUCUGGAAUGCACUUCAUUUUGCCAUUUGUGAAACCAUCAGUUGCUUCAGAUGUCUUCAAUCUAAAGGCACCCUUUUUAUUAUUUACUUGUUUGAAUUCCCUGUUUGUUUUUAUAUGUUUUUACUGAUUUUAUGCUGCUUUUUUCUUCUACUUCUACUGUUUAUUGUUUGUAUGUUGUACCCUGCUUAGAUUUCUCAAGUAUUAAAAGGUUUAUAUGUGUUUCUAAAUAAAUAAAAUAAGUGAGAGCAAGCUAAGCCUGGCCAUUUCACAAGACACCCACGAAACCUUGGAGUGGAAGAGGACACAUUGCAACGCAACUAAAGGACCUUUGAUUUCUUUUCCCUCUACUAAUCUGUCUUGCACCGCCUAACACACAAGACUGUGCAAAAAGCAAGCAAAAAUGAAAGAGCAUACUUCAAAAUAGUAUGUCUUGUUGUAAAGCCAGUAAUGUAACCUAAACCUACUUUUGAAAGUUCAUUGAGGCCAACUUAGAAAAGAGUUCUGAAAAUAAUGGGUGACUUCAGAGCAUGUCACACAAGCUCUGUAGAGCUCACUCUAGUGUAAGUUUACACCAGUGAUCUAUUUUUUACAGAUUGGUCUCAUGACAAGUUAGUGUGGGUUACAUGAUGGGCCCACGUGGCUAGGUGUCAGUUUUGGCUUCUGCAACGCUGAAGGAAUUCUACUCAGAAGAGCUGAAUUAUAUAACCUGUGUAAAUCAAUCCCCUCCUACAGCAUCCCAGAAGCUAGUACAAGCAAAGGGAACAGACUUUAAGGUCAUAACCACCUUUUAUUGAUCCACUGAAAAUACUGCGAAAUUACUGGCACCCCCAGUCUUCCCCUUUUCACUGCCCAAACAUACCAAACAGAAUACUAAGAAAAAUGAGCUCUUCUGAGCGACUCACUCACCUAAUGGCUCCAAUCUGAUACCCAGAAAAAACAGGGAGGGAGGUUCAUUGACAAACAUCCCACCAACUGCAUACUCAGGCAGAGCUAUACUGAGGGGAAACAUUUUCUCCUGCUAAUAAGGAACACAAGUAAAUUAAGAUGACAUCACUCCAGUCUUCCCCAACCUGGUGCCCUCUGAUCUGCAUGUUUUAAAGAUGUUUCUAAUGUUCUUAUGUGUUUUUAAAUGUUUGAUUUUUUUUAAAAAAAAUAUUCUACUGAGCACCUUAGCAAAGAAGGGUGGCAUAUCAGUGUUAAUAAAUAAAUAUAUUGUUGGGCUAUAAUUCCCAUCAUAACUUGGCCAUGCUGGGAGUUGUGGUGAACAAUCUAUGGGAAGCACCAGGUUGGAGAAGGAUAUAUUAGUCAGUUGAAAUCAGUGUCAAUGCAUUUUUAAAUCUGAAUUCUCCACAAUGUGGUUUGCAUAUAUGUGCAGGUAUGGAGAGAGAGACAGAGAGAUAAUGAGGGCCAUGGUAUUGACUUUGUGGCAUUAAUUCAUCAUUAAUCUGGAUGUUAAAAUUGUUCUUCUUUUGAUAAUAAUAAAUUGCAUUAACCCAAUGGGUCUAUGUUUGUAUCUUGAAAAUGUGAAAACUUAUGUUUCAC